AGAGGCGCCGGGAGCCUGGGAAAUGGAAUACCCCUACACAACCAAGAUGCUGAGUUCCUCCCUGAGCCCGCAAAACGGCACCUGGUCAGACACCAUCUCUCUGCUCUUAGCUCUUGGCGUUGCUCUCUACUUGGGCUACUACUGGGCAUGUGUGCCCCAGAGGCCUCGUCUGGUGGCUGGGCCCCAGUUUCUGGCCUUCCUGGAACAACACUGUCCAGUCACUGUGGAGACUUUCUACCCGACACUGUGGUGCUUUGAGGGACGGCUGCAAACCAUCUUCCGAGUCCUCCUGCAGUCUCAGCCUGUGGUCCCUUACCGGAGUGAAGUCCUCCAGACCCCAGAUGGAGGCCAGUUCCUUCUAGACUGGGCCGAGCAGCCUAACAGCACUCACUACCCGGACCCUACCACCCAGCCCAUAGUACUGCUGCUUCCAGGCAUCAGCGGCAGUAGCCAGGAGCCGUACAUCUUACACCUAGUUAACCAAGCUCUGAAGGAUGGCUAUAGGUAAGGACAGGGUACAGAACUUGGGAAGGGCAAAAGUACAUCUGACCCUGAUAUGGUACUCUCUGACAGGGGCCUUUCUGAAGACUAUCAAGGGGAGGGUCUUCUUGGGAGGGCUUGGCUCACACUCCUAUCUUGCCCCAGGGCUGUUGUAUUUAAUAACCGAGGAUGCCGAGGGGAAGAGCUGCUGGUGAGUACCCUCCUCCUUUGUGGUGGCCCUGUCCCUGUUCCCUUUAGAGACCACUGGCCCUAGGGCUCUACCUACUUACCAACCCCCUACCCUUCCUGAGCCCUUCCGCUUGGCUGUCUUCUGGCAAGAGCCUCCCUCCCUAGUCAAUGACCCGCUUUGCCCUCAGACUCACAGGGCUUACUGUGCCAGCAAUACUGAAGACCUAGAAACAGUUGUGAAGCACAUAAAACGUCGCUACUCCCAAGCUCCACUGCUGGCUGUGGGCAUCUCUUUUGGAGGGAUACUGGUGCUUAACUAUCUGGCACAGACUGGGAAGGCUGGAGGCUUGGUCGCAGGACUGACCAUUGUCUGCAUGUUGGGAUUCCUUUGAGACCGUUGACUCCUUGGAGACCCCACUCAACUCACUGCUCUUCAAUCAGCCACUCACUGCUGGACUCUGCCGGCUUGUGGCCAGGAACCGAAAGCCAAUUGAAAAGGUGUUGGAUGUAGACUUUGCGAUAAAGGCCCGCACGAUCCGCCAGCUGGAUGAGCGCUACACAUCUGUGGCUUUUGGGUAUAAAGACUGUGCGGCUUAUUACCAAGCCGCAAGCCCAAGAACCAAGGUAGAUGCCAUCCACACCCCUGUUCUCUGCCUCAAUGCAGCAGAUGACCCCUUCUCCCCAGUCCAUGCCUUCCCUCUGCAGGCUGCCCAGAAGUCUCCCUAUGUGGCCCUGCUCAUCACAGCUCGGGGUGGCCACAUUGGCUUCCUGGAAGGGCUGAUGCCCUGGCAACACUGUUACAUGAACCGCGUACUACAUCAGUAUGCCCGAGCCAUCUUCCAGCACUCAGUGGGGCUACCUGACCUGGGAGUACUCACUCCUGAAGAUGGAAAGAGCUGACAAGAGGACUGCUGGGCUCUCGGUUCAAUUGUUCUCUCUUUAUUAAAUAUCAACUCUUCCUGCCU
ensembl:processed_transcript Abhd1 abhydrolase domain containing 1